rnacentral:rRNA from 1 species
UACGAAGGGGGCUAGCGUUGUUCGGAAUCACUGGGCGUAAAGAGCACGUAGGCGGACUUGUUAGUCAGGGGUGAAAUCCCGGGGCUCAACCUCGGAACUGCCUUUGAAACUGCAAGUCUUGAGUCCGAGAGAGGUGAGUGGAAUUCCUAGUGUAGAGGUGAAAUUCGUAGAUAUUAGGAAGAACACCAGUGGCGAAGGCGGCUCACUGGCCCGAUACUGACGCUGAGGCGCGAAAGCGUGGGGAGCAAACAGG